CAGUAGCCGCGGGAAUACGGAGGGUGCAAGCGUUAAUCGGAAUUACUGGGCGUAAAGCGCACGCAGGCGGUUUGUUAAGUCAGAUGUGAAAUCCCCGAGCUUAACUUGGGAACUGCAUUUGAAACUGGCGAGCUAGAGUCUUGUAGAGGGGGGUAGAAUUCCAGGUGUAGCGGUGAAAUGCGUAGAGAUCUGGAGGAAUACCGGUGGCGAAGGCGGCCCCCUGGACAAAGACUGACGCUCAGGUGCGAAAGCGUGGGGAGCAAACCGGAUUAGAUACCCCGGUAGUCCCUGUCUCUUAUAC
rnacentral:rRNA from 1 species